rnacentral:misc_RNA from 1 species
AAGUCGUAACAAGGUCUCCGUUGGUGAACCAGCGGAGGGAUCAUUACCGAGUACUUAACUCAUAACCCUUUGUGAACCUUUAUAACCUGUUGCUUCGGCGGCGCGUGCCCCCCGGGGCCGCGCCCGCCGGUAACCAUCAGAAUCUCUGUUUGAACCCGACGAUACAUCUGAGUGUUCUAAGCGAACUGUUAAAACUUUCAACAACGGAUCUCUUGGCUCCA